AUUAAAGUGUCUGAAUAUAGGUAAUAAAUUGUAAAUUUAUUUAUGAGAGGCCCUCCUUUAAUA
rnacentral:tRNA from 1 species